GGUGUGUUGGCUCAGUCAGUAGAGCGUCCGUCUCACAACCGGGAGGUCGUGGGUUUGAACCUCGGUCGCGUCA
rnacentral:tRNA from 1 species